UGGCCCUUGGUGUAAUUGGCAGCACGACUGGUUCUGGUCCAGUUAGUCGGGGUUCGAGUCCCUGAGGGCCAGC
rnacentral:tRNA from 1 species